rnacentral:pre_miRNA from 1 species
GGGGCUGAUUGUCCAAACGCAAUUCUUGUAUCUUCAUGGUAACUAAGCAGGAGUUGUGGAUGGACAUCAAACCUC